rnacentral:rRNA from 1 species
AGGGCACCACCAGGAGUGGAGCCUGCGGCUUAAUUUGACUCAACACGGGAAAACUCACCCGGCCCGGACACUGGAAGGAUUGACAGAUUGAGAGCUCUUUCUUGAUUCAGUGGGUGGUGGUGCAUGGCCGUUCUUAGUUGGUGGAGUGAUUUGUCUGGUUAAUUCCGAUAACGAACGAGACUCUAGCCUACUAAAUAGAUCGUCGGCUUACAAACGCCGGCGAGACUUCUUAGAGGGACAGGCGGUGAUUCAACCGCACGAAACAGAGCAAUAACAGGUCUGUGAUGCCCUUAGAUGUCCGGGGCCGCACGCGCGCUACACUGAAGUGAUCAGCGUGCUUUUUCAACCUACUCUGUCAAGAGUGGGGAACCUAAUGAACCUUCUUCGCGAUUGGGAUAGGGGAUUGUAAUUAUUCCCCUUGAACGAGGAAUUCCCAGUAAGCGCGAGUCAUAAGCUCGCGUUGAUUACGUCCCUGCCCUUUGUACACACCGCCCGUCGCUACUACCGAUUGAAUGUUUU